rnacentral:rRNA from 1 species
GGUGAACGCUGGCGGCGUGCCUAAUACAUGCAAGUAGAACGCUGAAGGAAGGAGCUUGCUCUUUCCGGAUGAGUUGCGAACGGGUGAGUAACGCGUAGGUAACCUGCCUGGUAGCGGGGGAUAACUAUUGGAAACGAUAGCUAAUACCGCAUAACAGUAGAUGUUGCAUGAUAUCUACUUAAAAGGUGCAAUUGCACCACUACCAGAUGGACCUGCGUUGUAUUAGCUAGUUGGGGAGGUAACGGCUCACCAAGGCGACGAUACAUAGCCGGGCUGAGAGGGUGGUCGGCCACACUGGGACUGAGACACGGCCCAAGCUCCUACGGGGGGCAGCAGUAGGGGAUCUUCGGCCAUGGGCGGAAGUCUGACCGAGCAACGCCGCGUGAGUGAAGAAGGUUUUCGGGUCGGAAAGCUCUGUUGUAAGGGAAGAACGAGUGUGAGAGUGGAAAGUUCACGCUGUGACGGUAUCUUAACAGAAAGCGACGGCUAACUACGUG